UACAGAGGUCCCAAGCGUUGUUCGGAUUUACUGGGCGUAAAGGGUGCGUAGGCGGUGGGGUAAGUUUGAGGUGAAAGCUCCGGGCUCAACCCGGAAAAUGCCUUGAAAACUAUCCGGCUAGAGGGUUGGAGGGGAGACUGGAAUUCUCGGUGUAGCAGUGAAAUGCGUAGAUAUCAGGAGGAAUACCGAUGGCGAAGGCAGGUCUCUGGGCUGACACUGACGCUCAUGCACGAAAGCGUGGGGAGCAAACAGG
rnacentral:rRNA from 1 species